rnacentral:rRNA from 1 species
UGGGGAAUAUUGGACAAUGGGCGCAAGCCUGAUCCAGCCAUGCCGCGUGAGUGAUGAAGGCCUUAGGGUUGUAAAGCUCUUUCGCCGGUGAAGAUAAUGACGGUAACCGGAGAAGAAGCCCCGGCUAACUUCGUGCCAGCAGCCGCGGUAAUACGAAGGGGGCUAGCGUUGCUCGGAAUCACUGGGCGUAAAGCGCACGUAGGCGGAUCGUUAAGUCAGGGGUGAAAUCCUGGAGCUCAACUCCAGAACUGCCCUUGAUACUGGCGAUCUCGAGUUCGAGAGAGGUUGGUGGAACUCCGAGUGUAGAGGUGAAAUUCGUAGAUAUUCGGAAGAACACCAGUGGCGAAGGCGGCCAACUGGCUCGAUACUGACGCUGAGGUGCGAAAGCGUGGGGAGCAAAACAGGAUUAGAUACCCUGGUAGUCCACGCCGUAAACGAUGGAUGCUAGCCGUUGGGGGGUUUUACCUCUCAGUGACGCAGCUAACGCCUUAAGCAUCCCGCCUGGGGAGUACGGUCGCAAGAUUAAAACUUAAAGGAAUUGACGGGGUCAUAGCUGUUUCCU